rnacentral:piRNA from 1 species
UUUUCAGACUUCAAAAAUUGG